UGCCUUGCAUCACAUGGAAACCCAAACCCUAGUCGCUAACCCCCGCUGGAAAAGAAAACUCGGACGCUGGAGAAGGAGGUCGACCGCCGACUGCUACUGCACCGGAGCCAUCGUUGACUGCCAAAAAAAGUAAAAAUUUCUCCUACCACUCAAAACUCAAUUUUGAGCACUCUUGUGGCCAAAUCAAAGCAAAAAGGAUGGCGGGU
rnacentral:lncRNA from 1 species